GAAAGUUGUAUAUUAGGUUGUUCCAAACUCAGAUUAUAUUUCCCAUAUAAAUUCUAUUAUAAUGAAUAAUAAGGAUAACAGCCAGCAAAAGCUAACCUAGUACAUAGUACACUCUAGAAUUACUUUAGCCAUCUUGUUUUUGGUUAAAUUUUUACAGUAGAAAAAGCUAACUUGAAUCUCAGUGACUCUGGUAUACUUCUUCCAAGGUGAUGUGUUUGUGAUACCCCGAGCCUUGCCUGUGUCUGACCUGCUCCUCAAAUACCACAUCCCCAAAACCUUUCUGCUUCUGCCUGCCCCGGUCUCAAAUAUCCAUAUUAGUACUUCCAAACUGUGACCCAUCUCAUGUGUUCAGAAAAAGAAAUUUGCUUUAACUCAUUUAUAUUAAAGUGUUAAUGACUCUAGCCCUUUUUUCUCAGUUAGAGAAAUCUGCAUGAAAAACACAUAUGUUGGGCCAGGGAUUUAGCUCAGUGGUUCUGCCGCCUGCCUUGCAAGCGCAAGGUCCUGAGUUUGAUCCCCGGUACUAAAACAAAGAAAGAAAUAUGUUGCUGUUGGCACAAAAUUAUCUCAGUGAGCAAAAAAUUAAACUUUAAAACAAAAGUGAGGAUUAUUUUGUUGGUGUUGAUGAGACUAUCUUGAGGCAAGAUGUAUCCUAAAGUGACCUCAGUUGGAAUGCUCCCCCUUGCCCUGAAGCCAUGUGAUGUCAGAAAAUACGCCUACGCCAGUGCCCUUUAAGAAGGGAGCAGGUCACUGUAUGUGUGCGUCUUGUGAAGUCAGCCUGCUGGUGCUUUUUUUCUCCUUCAAUUAAGGUGGCGUCUGGUGCAUCCCAGAUUUCCCUCAUCACAUCUUCUAUAAGACUGUGUUUCCAUCUCAUUCUACCUCACCUCACAGUAAGUCUCUCUUCCAGCUCUGGUCAUUGGUAGGAAAUUUACAGGUGAACACUGUCCAUGCUGAUAAAGUCCCCAUUUUACUGUUACCCACAAUUUGUCAAGAGAUGUAAGGGUAGGAAAGGUAGUCCUUUUUAUUCUAAAAAAUUAUUAUUUCUAAAAUAGCUGGCACUUAGCAAUUUAGUUUCUUCAAAUUCUAUACUGAAUUAAAUUGCUGAGGCGAUUCUACAUGGAUUCUGAAAUCUAGUUAAUGCUUACGCUGAAGACUUGUAUUUCGUGGCAUUAGUUCUCCAUGCUCCCUCUGCAUACAUUCGCCGGAAGUGCCCGUGCGUUUCCAGGUGAGGGCGCCGCCGUGGAGUCUGUGCAGGGCAAGUGCACUGGGUUGGGCAUGCGCCGUGCUUCUCACUAGCUGGUUGUGCUCUGCACUCUGCUCUCGUAGAUUUAUUUUGUUUACAGUAGACCGAUGUCCGCUUUUGUAAAUGUUUUUUUCUUAGCACUUUAACUGUGAGUGUACAAACGUAAAUGUAGUGGUUGUAUAUUUUGGUUAUAAACUGGAAGUUU
rnacentral:lncRNA from 1 species